rnacentral:rRNA from 1 species
AUUGGCCUUUAAUUGGGGUCUAGAAUGAACGGAAACAUAUACGAUAACUGUCUUUUUUUUAUUUAAUUUAACUUACUUAUUAGGUGAAAACUCCUAUAAGCUAACAAGAAGGACGAGAAGACCCUUAGAAUUAUUAAGAUUUAAUGUUACACUAUACAUUAUUUUCUUUUUGUUGGGGCGACAUAUUUUCAUUAAACAUAAUAUAUUUAAAUUUUCACAAGACUAGUUUACUUAGUAAGAUUUAAUUACCUGAGGGAUAACAGCAUUAUAUUAUAUUAAGCUUGUGACCUCGAUGUUGGACUAGGUAAAAUAUCAACCAGUAGUUGUUAUUACUUGUUCUGUUCGAACAUACACACCUACAUGAUCUGAGUUCAGACCG